rnacentral:rRNA from 1 species
AAUGAACGCUGGCGGCAUGCCUAACACAUGCAAGUCGAACGAAGGCUUCGGCCUUAGUGGCGCACGGGUGCGUAACGCGUGGGAAUCUGCCCUUGGGUUCGGAAUAACAGUUAGAAAUGACUGCUAAUACCGGAUGAUGUCGUGAGACCAAAGAUUUAUCGCCCAAGGAUGAGCCCGCGUAGGAUUAGCAUAGUUGGUGGGGUAAAGGCCCACCAAGGCGACGAUCCUUAGCUGGUCUGAGAGGAUGAUCAGCCACACUGGGCCGGUGACACGGCCCGGACUACUCGGGGGGGAAGCAGUGGAGAAUAUUGGACAGGGGGCGAAAGCCUGAUCCAGAAUUGCAGCGUGAGUGAUGAAGGCCUUUGGGUAGUAAAGCUCUAUACACGGGAAAGAUAAUAACAGCACCGGGAGAAGAAGCUCCGGCGAUCUUCAUGCCAGCCGCCGCAAUAAGA